GAUGAAGAACGUAGCGAAAUGCGAUACUUGGUGUGAAUUGCAGAAUCCCGUGAACCAUCGAGUCUUUGAACGCAAGUUGCGCCCGAAGCCAUUAGGCCGAGGGCACGCCUGCCUGGGCGUCACACGUCGUUGCCCCCCCAUCUAAUCCUUCGGGAUUGCGGGGGGCGGAUGAUGGCCUCCCGUGCGCCUCGUCGCGCGGUUGGCAUAAAUGCCAAGUCCUCGGCGACGCACGCCACGACAAUCGGUGGUUGCGAAACCUCGGUUGCCCGUCGUGUGCGGUCGUCGCGCAUCGAGGGCUCGAAAAAAUUGCCGGGCUCCGGCUCGACUUUCAACGCGACCCCAGGUCAGGCGGGGUUAACCGCUGAAUUUAAGCAUAUCAAUAAGCGGAGGA
rnacentral:misc_RNA from 1 species